CCACCCGCGCCUCUUAACAAUGCGAAAAUAGGGUGGG
rnacentral:sRNA from 1 species